UUAGCAGGCUACACCGUACAGCUCAAAAUUGGGUUUGCCAGUUCAGUGAGAACUAGAGACUUGAAUCUUCUUACUAAAACCCACUGCUAAUGCCUCAGGCAUGGAUGUUAUAUCCAGGAGAGAAGGGCCAGCAUGAGGGCUGGAGGGGCACUAUGCCACCAGUCUCAGUCUGCUCUCAGCCAGCCCCUACCUGCUCGCCUUCUUACUCACAACUAGUCCAGGGGGGUGGUCCUGGCUGUCAGCUGCCUCCUCCUCAGUCAGUGUUGCCCCUUGUUGAACUCAGCAAGGAGGAAGAGGAUGGGGACAAGAUGAGCAUUAGGUGCCUCUGCCUGUCAUUGGCUCUGGCUCCACCUAUCAUUGGUUCUUGUUCCACUUGCCUUACGCCCCACCAAUGGGAACCAGCCGUCACUGCCCGUGUAUAUACUAAGGACCCUGGACUAGAACAAAAUAUUUGGGGGGGUGCAGCACAGUUCAGUCCUCCAAGGAAUUCAACAACCAGCCCUUUGGAUUACCAACUGAUCUGCUCCUGUGCCUUUUAGGAUCCGCUUGAUAUGCGUCAAUCCACGGGAUGAGCCAAACCACAAGAGCUUACUGCCACCUGCUGGAAGUUUAUUGAAUAUACUGCAGAAAAUGAGUCGCAUGAACAAUUAUCCACCGCCAUCAACAGUAUUUGGAUAUCUUAAUUAACUUUCCUCUCUUGAAUUAUGACAUAUUUGACUAAUGGACUUGCUGUUGUCAGAUGAUGUAUCCUCCACGGUUUCUUGUUGGGGGUGUAGGGAAGGAAGGGAUAUUAUUAUAUUAUUGUAUUUUUAAAAUAAAUUGUGAAGCUGAA